UCAGUCAAAUCUGUGGUAGGCCUAGAGAUAAGUCCUGUUCAAGCCCCAUCUCCAGCACAAGAAAACCUGUGUAGCCCUUCCUUUUGUGGCCAGAGCUGCAAAACAGCCCCACAGCCAGAGCACUCGCACAAGGAGCCAUUAGACAAGACAGACAUUGGGAAAAGCUAUAAAUAGUAAAUAACCUGCCUGCAAAAAUACCUUGAAUCAUUAGAAAUGGGUGGUUUGUGAGUUUCCUUGGAAUCAGUUACUGCCUUUAUGUUUUCAUAGUGUUCUGCUAGAAGUGCUAUUGUCUAACUAUUGUUUGACAGAGGUAAACAUGAGUAACCUGGCUCGCUUCUUACACUUGAGAAACUGAAAAAAGCUGAGUAAGUCCUGAGGUUUUCAUAUCUACCCAGCUGAAGCUGGGGGAAAUUAAUUGUUUCAUAUUGAACUGAGGCAAAAUAUGUCUUAGUGAUAUUUUAAGCAAAGCAAUUUAAUCAUUUUGGGGUCAAAACUGUCUUCUUUGGGGUUAUUAAAUCACUCAACCUGGUUUUCUUUAAAAAGAGAUGCUUGAAUCAAUGAUAUGCAUCCAUUAGCUGAAUCCAAACUAUUAUAAAAACUCUCCUUUUAGAAGGAAUAUUAUUUGUGAAAGGAUGACGACUGCCAGCUUGUUUUGCAGUACUCCUGAGCUGGACAAAAUGUAAAAAUAAGAAGGCUGAUCAGACCACAAUACUUUUAGUCCUUUGCAGGGAACUCUACCUGAUGCUAUUCAAUUCGGAAUGACUCCUAAAGGAAGAUUUAACUGUUUCUUGUAGAGAAAUUAAAUUUCUGAUGUUAUUUUUAAAUGGUUGGAAACUCAGAACUGAGGCUUGCAAGUAACAUAAAGUAUGUUU
rnacentral:lncRNA from 1 species